GGGGCUGUGGCUCAGUGGUAGAGCAUCUGCUUGGAAUGUCGAAGGUCCCAGGUUCAAUCCCUGGCACUUGCA